rnacentral:piRNA from 1 species
UGACAAAGCCCAUUAGCAAUCGGUAUUUUGU